rnacentral:lncRNA from 1 species
UCUUAACUUGUUGGAGCAAACCAAUCAUGUUUGUAAAUUCCUAAGUAAACGUCAGCCGAGUAAUGCAUUUCUUUUUCUAAAUUUGAUUAGCAAAAUUCCUUACUUGUUUGAGGAUGUAUGUAUGAAUAUCAAUUAUGCCUCAAUUUGAUAUAGUAUCCAUUGCAGCACUUGCCCCUAGGACAACACAAAAGCAUCCUAAAGUUUUUUACGAACUAGUGAAUUUUUUAGAAGCAGGGGGGAAUACCUUAUUCGUUACAAUUAUUAUUCAGCAUCAAGCUCGUAUUCUAAAGACGCCUUUCCCAUGUUUCUGCUUAGAAACUAAAUAAAGUUGGGUCUACCAAGUGUAACAGCUAACAGGUCAUUAUAAAUUAUAUCUCAGAGUCAUUCUAGAGCCAAAUACAAUAAGAAGGAUUGAAAAAUAAAGGAAAAAAAUCAUGAGGCAUGUCCUUCUUUAAUUUCCAUGCACCACCAUCAGUAUCACCUUAAUCUCUCUCCAAUCCCAUAUCUACACACACCAUGAUUGAAAGUGAUCUAAAAACAGACCUUAGGAGAUAAUGAUAGUCAACUUUAAAGACCACGCAAUAGCACGUAUCUAGUAGAAUAGUGAUUACGGGUAUCGAUCCACAGAAAUUGGGAUACAGUUGUUUUCUUAAAAAAUAUAUAUUUAAAAGAAAAAGUUUGUGAAGAAAAUUAAACUAAGAAAUUUAAUAAAAAAAUGCAAUUAAAAAGAUAUCAGUUGAGAGAACCUAGGGCAAGGAAUUCACCACUAACAUCGAAACAAGGGUUAUUUGUUAUGUAUUUCAUUCUUGGAUCAUUAUGCAAAUUGACUACAAGUCUAAUAAGCAUUCAAAUAAAAAUUUCAUAAAAGUAAUUUAGGCAUAAUCCAUCUUUAGUUAGCAUGAAAUGUCUACCCUAAUCUAAGGUGGCAGCACAUCGCAUCUUCCUUAAGCAUGAACUAUCUUAUUUUUACUUCAAUGAUCAUGAAGAGCAAUUGUAUAAACGUCAUACUAAAAAUCAUAGAAAUUAAAUAUGAGAUGAAAUAAAAUAUUCAUUAGGAGCAAAAUAAAGUUUAUACAACUUCAGGAAUAGAAAAUUAAAAUAUAAAACCCUUGGCCCUUUGUUAGGGCUGCAUCCAGCCCUAGAGAGGAAAUCAGCCUUCCAUGAAGUCGUGGGCGACAGCAGCAGUGGCACAGCAGCGGGCUCCCAUUUAUUUCUUUCUUCCUCUAGCGACUUCCAUCGAAAACUUCCUCUCAGCACUUCAUUAUUUUUUAUAUGGGAAGUUAUUCCCGAAAUGCCCCAAAGUCUUCUCUCUCUCCUUUUAUUCUUGUGGGAACUCCCUGAGAAGAGCCAAGCUCUUCUUCUCCCGGUGGGGAACUUGGCCUCUCCGGAGAUUGUGAAGAUAUGUGGAACCCCCACCGAAGUUGCCUCCCCUGUUUCACGCCUGGCCUUUUAUAGGCUCCAAUCUCUCUUUCCUCUUCCUUAUUUUGAAUCAUGGAUAAGGAUGAACCCUUUGCUGUUGGGAUGAAGCUUGGCCUGAUUCACUGGACUGCUGUGGUUCGGAUCAAGGGAGAAGACGCGUGAAGCCGUUCGUGGAUAAUGAAAUUUGCUGGGAAGUUUGUGGAUGAUGCCAUUGAUUGAAUCCAUGGAUAAGGAUGGAUCACAAUGGGAUGAAGGUGGAUGGAUCCGUGAGCAGGGGAUAGGAAGUUGGGACCUCGGCUGACAGCUGGGAACGGAUGUGAAGUGAUCCGGAACAGGGGAAGAGG